rnacentral:rRNA from 1 species
ACGCACGCUGGCGGCGUGCUUCACCCCUGCCAGUCGCACGGAAAGGCCCUGCUUUUGUGGGGUGCUCGAGUGGCGAACGGGUGAGUAACACGUGAGUAACCUGCCCUUGACUUUGGGAUAACUUCAGGAAACUGGGGCUAAUACCGGAUAGGAGCUCCUGCUGCCUGGUGGGGGUUGGAAAGUUUCGGCGGUUGGGGAUGGACUCGCGGCUUAUCAGCUUGUUGGUGGGGUAGUGGCUUACCAAGGCUUUGACGGGUAGCCGGCCUGAGAGGGUGACCGGCCACAUUGGGACUGAGAUACGGCCCAGACUCCUACGGGAGGCAGCAGUGGGGAAUAUUGCACAAUGGGCGGAAGCCUGAUGCAGCAACGCCGCGUGCGGGAUGACGGCCUUCGGGUUGUAAACCGCUUUCGCCUGUGACGAAGCGUGAGUGACGGUAAUGGGUAAAGAAGCACCGGCUAACUACGUG